rnacentral:rRNA from 1 species
UGGGGAAUUUUGGACAAUGGGGGCAACCCUGAUCCAGCAAUGCCGCGUGUGUGAAGAAGGCCUUCGGGUUGUAAAGCACUUUUGUCCGGAAAGAAAUCGCCCUGGCUAAUAUCCGGGGUGGAUGACGGUACUGGAAGAAUAAGCACCGGCUAACUACGUGCCAGCAGCCGCGGUAAUACGUAGGGUGCAAGCGUUAAUCGGAAUUACUGGGCGUAAAGCGUGCGCAGGCGGUUGUGCAAGACAGAUGUGAAGUCCCCGGGCUUAACCUGGGAAUGGCAUUUGUGACUGCACGGCUAGAGUGUGUCAGAGGGGGGUAGAAUUCCACGUGUAGCAGUGAAAUGCGUAGAUAUGUGGAGGAACACCGAUGGCGAAGGCAGCCCCCUGGGAUAACACUGACGCUCAUGCACGAAAGCGUGGGGAGCAAACAGGAUUAGAUACCCUGGUAGUCCACGCCCUAAACGAUGUCAACUAGUUGUCGGGUCUUAAUUGACUUGGUAACGCAGCUAACGCGUGAAGUUGACCGCCUGGGGGAGUACGGUCGCAAGAUUAAAACUCAAAUGAAUUGACGGGGGUCAUAGCUGUUUCCU